AAACACUAAAAAUUAAAAAAAAAAAAAAAAAUGUAUUCACUUAUUUUGGCAGUACCAGGGGUUGGCACCAGGGCCUCGCUUGCUAGGUGAGCACUCUUCCACUGAAGUACAUCCCCAGUCUUAGGUUUUCCCUCAGUUGCCCUGGCUGGCCUUGAACUUAAGAUCCCCCUGCAUCAGCCUCUUGAGGAGCCUGAUGACGGGCCUGUGCCACCACGCCUGGCUCAUACUGAUAUGUUUGAAGUCCACUGGGUUUAUGUGUUUCCUCCAGAUUUGAUUUAGGCUGUGCCUCUUUUCACUUUUUGACAGCACAGGUAUAAGUGUUGUAGUUGUUUCUCAUAGUCUCCCUUGGUCAGAGGCACCAAGGGCUGCUUCUCUGUUACUGGUGAUGUUGAGGUGAUGUAUGCCACCCUUCUCCCCUGUGAAGGUUCCAACACUGGGGACUACCCUGUUCCUACAGUGAAUCUUGCCCCAGGCCUUCUGCUUUGCAGGAGAGUUUGUCCUUCCUCCCUAUUCAUUUCUUGGUGUGUUUAUUUGUAAAGACUUCAGAAAGAGAAAAUUUGAUGGAUUGAUUGUGGUCUUAUCAGUAUCAAGGCAAAAAAAUUGAAGGGGAGGGCAGAGCCUCAACCUUUUCCUGUUUGAUAGGAUAUCAUCAACCAUUAUGUGGGGGAUAAAAGGGUGUUCUGAUCAAGCAUGGUGAAAGUGACGUGUACAGAUUCCUCAGUUUCCUUCGGUGUGGUACUUGUCAAAGGCGUGAUGUGCUGAUGCACUUGUGAGUGACAGGAGGGUUAAAGUGUGUUAGAGAGACCCUGACUCUCCCAGCACCUCUGUGGGCAUCUUCCAUUGAUAUUAAAUGAAUCUGCUGCCUUUGUAAUAAACAUUAAAUUGGGGGUUUUAAGGGAAUUUGUGUUGAGGAGUGGGUUAGUGGUGGCAGAAGAAAAAGAGAAAACAAACUAAACACUGCUGUGGCUGGCAAAGUAAAC
rnacentral:lncRNA from 1 species